rnacentral:lncRNA from 10 species
AUCACUUGAAUCUGGGAGGUAGAGGCUCACCAUCUACCCGGCUAAUUUUUUUGUAUUUUUAGUAGAGACGGGGUUUCACCACGUUGGCCAGGCUGGUCUCGAACUCCUGACCUCAUGAUCCGCAUCCCCCCUCCCCCCGCGGCCUUCGAAAGUGCUGGGAUUACAGGCGUGAGCCACCGCACCCAGCUCAAUGGCUGAACUUUUAGCUUCAUUUUAGCAGAGUUCAGACACCCCCAUAAUCCUAAUCUUGUGAGUUGUCAUUAGUUUUACAAAGGCAGUUUGGUCCCAGAACAAACAGGUGGUAGUUUUGGGAAGGGCUAUUAUCAUCCUUGCUUUAAGUUUAAACCAUAAAUUAAAUUCCUCCCCAAGUUAACCUAGCCUAUGCCCAGGAAUGAACAAGGACAGUUUAGAGGCUAGAAGCAAGAAGAAGUCAGCUAGAUUACAUUAUUUUACUGCCAUCAUUUUCCUGUGUCGGGUCUUACUCACUGUCAUAAUUUCUUUUUUCUUUUUUUUUAAAGACAGAGUCCUACUCUGUCACCCAGGCUGGAGUACAGUGGGGUGAUCUCGGCUCACUGCAACCUCUACCUCCCAGAUUCGAGUGAUUCUCCUGUCUCAGCCUCCUGAGUAGCUGGGAUUACAGGCACCUGCCACCAUGUCCGGCUAAGUUUUAGUAGAGACGGGUUUUGCCAUGUUGGCCAGGCUGGUCUCGAACUCCUGACCUCAAGCACUCCACCUACCUUGGCCUCCCAAAGUGCUGGGAUUACAGGUGUGAGCCACUGCACCCGGCCUCUGUCAUAAUUUUUGCAAAGGCGGUUUCAGUGGGGUCUCCAAACCACUCUCCUUGGCCAGGUUACCAGUUUCCCACCUGGGCACAGUGGGUUAGGGUCCUGGGGGUUGGUCCUCCCAACUCCAGUGUCUUCUGGUACCAUCCUCCCUCCUUGCAGCAAAUAUAGUGUCUGUGGUCCAACUCUGGAGUUACUGUGGCCAGAGGCUCUUAGUUACCAGAUUAACUGUCCCUUCCCCACUCCUUUCCCCACCAACCAUCUGCUUCUGUACCAGCUACCUGGCUAGGAGGAUUUCUACCUCCCCCUACCUAGGGGUCUGGCCCUGUGGUAAGACUGCACCCACCCGUGAAGCCACGCCCCAUCCAGGAAACCACACCCACUCAAGAAGCCCUGCCCACCCAAGAAGCCCCACCUGCCAGCAAGCCACAGCCAUCCAAGAAACCCCACCCAUCCAGGGAGCCCUGCCCAGCCCAUCAGAUGGUCCCACUCACCCAUGAAAGCCACUGCCGAGGAAUAAUGAUGCUCGCAUGAAACAGGCAAGGAAGGACAGAAAGAGAAGGAAAGAGAGAAACUGAUUGAAGAAAAAUAAACUUCACAUGGAACAAACUUCACAUGAAAACAUGAGAUUUUUUCUUUUUUUGGGAUGGAGUCUCACUCUGUUGCCCAGGCUGGAGUGCAGUGGCACGAUCUGGGCUCACUGCAGCUUCUGCCUCUAGGGUUCAAGGGAUUAUCCUGCCUUAGCCUACCAAGUAGCUGGGAUUACAGGCGUGCACCCCCCAUACCUGGCUAAUUCUUGUAUUUUUAGUAGAGACGGGGGUUUCGCCAUAUUGACCAGGCUGGUCUUGAACUCCUGACUUCAAGUGAUCCACCCAUCUCGGCCUCCCAAAGUGCUGGAAUUACAGACGUGAGCCACCAUGCUUGGCCGAAAACAGAAGUUUGAAAAAAUUUAUUGAAAAACAUUUUGCCUAUGAUUCCAGUAUCAUAAACAUACUAUAGGACUCCAAAACCCAAUAAAAUUAUACUGUGAUCCUGAAAGUAUCUUAAGAGGCAUUUAAUAUACAAUGUCCAUGAAUAUCAGGUUGAACAGUGUGUUUUUAAAAUAUACAUUUGUAAAUGCUGUUUGUAUAUUACAUAUAUUAACCCUUUGUCUGUCAUUCAGAUUGCAAACAAUUCUGCCACUACUUUGUAUUGUUUUGAUAACUUUCCCCCACAAAAUGUUACUUUUUAAUGUAGUAGGAUAUGUGUAAUUUUAUUUUUACAGCUUUCAGCUUUCUUGUUUUGAUUAAAAUAGUCUCCUCAGCUCCCAAAUUAUACAUAUAGUCUCCUAAAUUUUCCUUUGGAAUUUUUAGGUGGUUUUUAAAUUUUAUUUAUUUUUAUUUUUUGAGACACAGUCUCACUCUGUCGCCCACCUGGGCUGGAGUGCAGUGGCGAGAUCUCUUUGUGUGGCACACAAGGCCCCACCAGGGGUCUGAUCCUGCUUGAUGGGAUCUUGAUUUGCAUAAACCAUACCCCUGCUGGGAUCCCAGCUGUGGUAGAUUGUGUUAUUGUUGAAAAUAUUUGCUUUCUCUCCCUUGGGUAGAUCAUACCUCCCUGUCUCGCUGAUAUCACGCUUGAUGUCUGACUGGCAGUGCCUCUCUCUGAUAGUAUUUUAUAUCCAGGGCGACCUUGUGACUUGCUUUGGCCAAUAAAAUUUGGGUGGAAGGGACGCACAUCGUCUCUGGAAAGAAGCUUCAAGAGCCAGCUGGUGGUUUUGCCAUCUGUCACCCUCUACCACCAUGAGACUGGCAAUGUCCCAGACGGGGGUGGUUUGGCCAGCCCAGGUCCCAGAGUGAACAUGGCAUGGAUGAGAGCACAGACAUUGAAAUGGGCAAGCGGCAUGAGCAAGAAAUACACCUUUGCUGUUGUAAGCCAUAUAGCCUUUAGGACUGUUUGUUACUGCAGCAUAACCUGACACUUUCUGACUGCUACACCAAACUCGCUGGCUUUGAGAGACUUUACCCUUUUUUGCUUUUUUUUUUUUUGAGAUGGAGUUUUGCUCCGUCUUGUACAGGUUGGAGCACAGUGGCAUGAUCUUGGCUCAAUGCAA